rnacentral:rRNA from 1 species
UGAAUACGAGACGCUAAGGCGUCGAAGUAGUGUAUGUCAUACUUCCAAGAAAAGCUUGCACUGUCAUAGAUAAAAAACGCCUGUACCAUAACCGACACAGGUGGGUAGGUAGAGUAUACUAAGGGGCGCGAGAUAACUCUCUCUAGGGAACUCGGCAAAAUAACUCCGUAACUUCGGGAGAAGGAGUGCCUUAUUAUUAAGGCUGCAAUAACAAGAUCCAAGCAACUGUUUAUCAAAAACACAGGUCUCCGCUAAGUCGUAAGACGAUGUAUGGGGGCUGACGCCUGCCCAGUGCCAGAAGGUUAAAGAAGUUGGUUAGCAUUUGCGAAGCUGAUAACUGAAGCCCUGGUGAACGGCGGCCGUAACGAUAACGGUCCUAAGGUAGCGAAAUUCCUUGUCGGGUAAGUUCCGACCCGCACGAAAGGCGUAAUGAUUUGGAUACUGUCUCGGAGAGGGGCUCGGUGAAAUAGACUUGUCUGUGAAGAUGCGGACUACCUGCACCAGGACAGAAAGACCCUAUGAAGCUUUACUGUAACUUGAAAUUGAAAUUGGACUUUAUUCGCGCAGCAUAGGUGGGAGGCGUUGAUUAUAAUCUUGUGGGAUUAUUGGAGCCAUCAGUGAGAUACCACUCUUGUAAUGUUAGAUUUCUAACUUUGAAUCAUUAUCUGGUCAAAGAACAGUUUCAGGCGGGCAGUUUGACUGGGGCGGUCGCCUCCUAAACGGUAACGGAGGCGUACAAAGGUUUCCUCUGAACGGUUAGAAAUCGUAUCUAGAGUGUAAAGGCAUAAGGAAGCUUGACUGUGAGACCUACAAGUCGAGCAGGGACGAAAGUCGGUCUUAGUGAUCUGACGGUACUGAGUGGAAAGGCCGUCACUCAACGGAUAAAAGUUACUCUAGGAUAACAGGCUGAUCUCCCCCAAGAGUUCACAUCGACGGGGAGGUUUGGCACCUCGAUGUCGGCUCAUCGCAUCCUGGGGCGGUAGUACGCCCCAAGGGUUGGGCUGUUCGCCCAUGAAAGCGGUACGCGAGCUGGGUUCAGAACGUCGUGAGACAGUUCGGUCCAUAUCCGGUGUAGGCGUUAGAAUAUUGAGAGGAGCCUUCUUUAGCACGAGAGGACCGAGAAGGACAUACCUCUGGUGUACCAGUUAUCGUGCCAACGGUAAACGCUGGGUAGCUAUGUAUGGAGUGGAUAACCGCUGAAAGCAUCUAAGUGGGAAGCCCACCUCAAGAUAAG